UUCAAAGCCUUUAACAAUGGCAGUCACAUAGGAAGUACUCAAUGUUUGGAGUACGAAUAAUGUACUAUUAUUAUUCAAAGACCAGCUAGAAAGUUACCUUCUUUGAGGGGUCUCCCUGAUAGUUACAGUGACAAGGAGACUUAAUCGCCCCCAAACACUUACCACUUUACACUGCUUGGUUGCCUCCACUACACAACUAAUUCCCCGAGGGGAAGGAUCUUGAAUAACUGAACUUUGUUGCAGGAGGCUAGCACAGUACCCAGAUCAUAGAGGGAACUCAGAAUCUGAUGCUGGCACUUGUAAUCAGAAAGUCUGGGCUGCGAUCCCAGUAUCUUCACUGACUGGCUUUGUGAUCUCAGGCUGGUCACUUAGCAUUUCGAACGCCGGGCUACCUACCCCGCCCACCCCAGGAGCGAACAGUGUUGCUGCCCCAAAGCGCCGAAUAGAUCGCAGAACGUAGUGGGAAUGUAAGGGACCAUUAUGAUCUGUACCCCACCCCGACGCACGCCAAGCGGCCUUUUCCCCAUUUGUGGCCAAAUUUCCCGGCAUGGGGAAGGAGUCUUAGGGGAAGCACCCGGGACCUCCUUGGCUUCUUCUGGGAGUCUAGUUUCACCUAUUUUGUUUCGCCAACAGGCGAGACGGGCAAGACUUCGGGCUUAGCUGCCACCAUCAGAACUGACCUGUCCAUGGCUAAAGCCUUUUCCACACAGAACCAACGUUGACUCCAGUUUAGCUACCGCGUUUUAGCCUUCCCGCUCUCCGGAAGCAAGCCCUUCGACCCGGAAGUGUCUCUCCCUAAAACAGCCCCACAGAAAAGGGGUUCAGGUACUCUAUGCUAUAUGUGGUUCCACAAUCCUCAGCAUGUUAACUGAAGCCUUGUUGAGUUUAACAAAGGUGCCGUUGAAGAUCUGGGGAAAGUGAAAAAGGUGCGACAGACUUUUGGGCUCACACCAUUGAUACAUUUGAUUCUUAAG
rnacentral:lncRNA from 1 species